rfam:Sporomusa sp. An4 isolate Sporomusa ovata strain An4 genome assembly, contig: SPAN4DRAFT_scaffold-1
AUGUCCCUGCUGUGUGCGUGGAAUGUCAAUGUUUUGAGCCAACACUUUUACUGCGGGAGCCUGUCUCUGGUUAUGGCGUGUAUGCCCUGGUUUUAGGGGACACACAAAAUAAGCAGGCGAGCACCCACCUGCCGAGGGCAGGUUCAAAACAGAGACGAUACGGCAUAGUGGGGAAUGA